rnacentral:tRNA from 1 species
GGGGCUGUAGCUCAGUGGUAGAGCACUCACCUAGCACAUGUGAGGCACUGGGUUCAAUCCUCAGCACCACA